rnacentral:rRNA from 1 species
UACAGAGGUGGCAAGCGUUGUUCGGAAUUAUUGGGCGUAAAGGGCGCGUAGGCGGCCAUUCAAGUGACGGGUGAAAGCCCUCGGCUUAACCGAGGAACUGCCUGUCAGACUGGAUGGCUUGAGACCGGGAGAGGUGAGUGGAAUUCCCAGUGUAGCGGUGAAAUGCGUAGAUAUUGGGAGGAACACCAGUGGCGAAGGCGGCUCACUGGACCGGAACUGACGCUGAGGCGCGAAAGCGUGGGGAGCAAACAGG